GAGUGAACGCCGGCGGUAGGCCUAACACAUGCAAGUCGAACGGCAGCACAGUAAGAGCUUGCUCUUACGGGUGGCGAGUGGCGGACGGGUGAGGAAUACAUCGGAAUCUACUUUUUCGUGGGGGAUAACGUAGGGAAACUUACGCUAAUACCGCAUACGACCUACGGGUGAAAGCAGGGGAUCUUCGGACCUUGCGCGAUUGAAUGAGCCGAUGUCGGAUUAGCUAGUUGGCGGGGUAAAGGCCCACCAAGGCGACGAUCCGUAGCUGGUCUGAGAGGAUGAUCAGCCACACUGGAACUGAGACACGGUCCAGACUCCUACGGGAGGCAGCAGUGGGGAAUAUUGGACAAUGGGCGCAAGCCUGAUCCAGCCAUACCGCGUGGGUAAAGAAGGCCUUCGGGUUGUAAAGCCCUUUUGUUGGGAAAGAAAAGCAGCAGGUUAAUACCCCGCUGUUCUGACGGUACCCAAAGAAUAAGCACCGGCUAACUUCGUG
rnacentral:rRNA from 1 species